rnacentral:rRNA from 1 species
UCUACGGGUGGCAGCAGUGGGGAAUCUUGCACAAUGGGGGAAACCCUGAUGCAGCGACGCCGCGUGAGUGAAGAAGUAUUUCGGUAUGUAAAGCUCUAUCAGCAGGGAAGAAGCAAGACGGUACCUGACUUGGACGCCUCGGCUAACUACGUGCAAGCAGCCGCGGUAAUACGUAGGGGGCCAGCGUUAUCCGGAGUUACUGGGUGUAAAGGGAGCGUAGACGGUAUGGCAAGUCUGCAGUGAAAGCCCAGGGCUUAACCCUGGGACUGCUUUGGAGACUGGUAGACUAGAGUGCUGGAGAGGUAAGUGGAAUUCCUAGUGUAGCGGUGAAAUGCGCAGAGAUUAGGAGGAACACCAGUGGCGAAGGCGGCUUACUGGACAGUAACUGACGUUGAGGCUCGAAAGCGUGGGGAUCAAACAGGAUUAGAUACCCUGGUAGUC